rnacentral:rRNA from 1 species
GGUUCCUACUAUCGGAAUGAGUACAAUUUAAAACCAUUAGCGAGGAACAAUUGGAGGGCAAGUCUGGUGCCAGCAGCCGCGGUAAUUCCAGCUCCAAGAGUGUAUAUUAAAGUUGUUGCGGUUAAAAAGCUCGUAGUUGGACUUUGGGAUUGGGCGCAACAGUCCCUGGUGGCAUUGCUGCUAGGAUCAAGGCUGAGUGUUCCUUUCUCUUUUCUGGGAAGCGUAAAACGUGGGGCAACCUGCGGUUUCUUUUGGGUUUACUUUGAAUAAAUUAGGGUGUUCAUAGCAGGCGAAAUCGUCUUGAAUACUUUAGCAUGGGAUAAUAAAAGAUGACCUAGGUCUAAAUUAUUGGUUUCUGAGGCCAGGGUAAUGAUUGAUAGGGACAGUUGGGGUCGCUUGUAUUCAGUGGUCAGAGGUGAAAUUCUAGGGCCCAUUGAGGACAAACAAAUGCGAAGGCAUUCGACAAGGAUGUUUUCAUUAAUCAAGAACGAAAGUUGUGGGAUCGAAGAUGAUCAGAUACCGUCGUAGUCACAACCGUAAACUAUGUCGACUCAGGAUCUGGGGAUGUUACAUGGAUGACUCUCCAGGCACUGUGUGCGAAAGCAUAAGUAUUCAGACUCCGGGGGGAGUAUGGUCGCAAGGCUGAAACUUAAAGGAAUUGACGGAAGGGCACCACCAGGAGUGGAACCUGCGGCUUAAUUUGACUCAACACGGGGAAACUUACCCAGUCCGGACGCAACGAGGAUUGACAGAUUGAUAGCUCUUUCUUGAUUUUGUGGAAGCCGGUGCAUGGCCGUUUUUAGUUGGUGGAGUGAUUUGUCUGGUUAAGUCCGAUAACGAACGAGACCUUAUUCUACUAAAUAGUAGUGUGGACAUGGGGGCUUCAGGUGUAUCGGGUUCGCCUGGUAUGUUUGGGGUUCCCAUUAGAUGUAAACAGAUUUACUUCUUAGAGAGACUCUUGGCAUUUUUUAGUCAAUGGAAGAUUGAGGCAAAAACAGGUCUGUGAUGCCGCUCGAUGUCUGGGGCUGCACGCGCGUUACACUGGCAUGUUCAACAAGUAUUCUAAAUUUUACCGGGCCCGAAGGGGUUUUGGCAACCAAAAAAGCAUGUCGUGAUGGGGAUUGUGCUUUGAAACUAUCGCACAUGAACGAGGAAUUCCUAGUAGGGGUAGGUCAUCAACCUGCCCCGAUUACGUCCCUGCCCUUUGUACACACCGCCCGUCGCUUCUACCGAUAGAAUCACUCGAUGAGGACUCGGGACGUGAGGGUUCCUAUUGGCCGAAAGGUUGGUGGGCCUUUGUGAAACCUGUUCGAAUCUCGUAAUUUAGAGGAAGAAGAAGUCGU